rnacentral:lncRNA from 10 species
GUGUACAGCACUGCUCCCUACUACACGUCCUGGGCCCGCGGUCCCCGAUGCCCCCCGGAGCUCUGUGCACCUCCACUGAAACGCAAGGAGCAGACAGAACCUACACCAUCCGUGAGCACUAUUCACAAUAGCCAAGAGGUUGAAGCAGCCCAAAUGUUCAUCAACAGAUGAAGAGAUGAAUGAAAAUGUGAUAUAUACAUAUAAUGGAAUAUUAUUCAGCCUUAAAAAGGAAGGAAAUCUUAUCACAGGCUACAACAUAGAUGAACCUUGAGGAUGUUGUGCCAAGUGCAAUAAACCAGUCACAAAAGGACAAAUACUGUUAUGAUUUGACCUAUAUGAACUAUGUAGAGGCAUCCAACCAUGAUGAGGUACCUUGUUGAACAAACUAACUCUGCCACUGAGAACGAUGAAAGCUGUUUAAAAAAAUAAAUAAGUCUGUUUAAAAC